AUAAUCUGGCACCUUCGGUGUCCGAGUUGUAAUCUCUAGAAAUGUUUUCCGCGUUGGACCGCACACAAGUCUGUUGGAAUACAGCGGCAUAGUGGUGAGACCCCCGUAUAUGGUGCGGACGCCCAGCGCUUUGUGAUACAUUUUCGAAGAGUCGAGUUGUUUGGGAAUGCAGCUCAAAUUGGGUGGUAAAUUCCAUCUAAAGCUAAAUAUUGGCGAGAGACCGAUAGCGAACAAGUACCGUGAGGGAAAGAUGAAAAGCACUUUGGAAAGAGAGUUAACAGUACGUGAAAUUGUUGGAAGGGAAACGCUUGAAGUCAGACUUGCUUGCCGAGCAAUCGGUUUGCAGGCCAGCAUCAGUUUUCCGGGAUGGAUAAUGGUAGAGAGAAGGUAGCAGUUUCGGCUGUGUUAUAGCUCUCUGCUGGAUACAUCUUGGGGGACUGAGGAACGCAGUGUGCCUUUGGCGGGGGUUUCGACCUCUUCACACUUAGGAUGCUGGUGGAAUGGCUUUAAACGACCCGUCUUGAAAC
rnacentral:rRNA from 1 species